ensembl:lncRNA
GGGGCAGUUAUCCUGGUAUUCCACGCUUCUGGCUUCCUCCAUACUUUGUCUAUCAGCUCUUCCUCUGGUCCUGGAUUGAUUUCUCGUGGUCCCUUACAAACCUCUUCUGCAGCCCAUGGGCCAGCAAAUGAUGUGCAACUUCAAGAACCUGUACACAAAGGGACCCUCGGCCAAAUGUUUUAAUGUCACUGAAGAGCCAUCCUUGGCUCUGAAAGAGCUCUGGAAGAAACAUUUCAAUAUCCUCCACUGCAUCAACCUCAUUGACAAAGCCUGAGAAGAUGUUACUUACUGGUCCUUAAACUCAGCCUGGAGGAAACUGGCCAGAAUGUGUUGCUGAAUAUGACUUUGAAGAGUCCAGAGCACAGGGAGUGGAGGAGAUUGUGUCCAUGGACAACAGUAUGGAUCUAGACAUGGAUGGUGCAGACAUAGAGGAGCUUGUUGAGGACCAUAAGAAGGAGCUGACAAUGGAAAAACUUGCUGAACUCCAGAGUAACCAGCAGAAGACUUGUUGAGGAGUAUUCCUGAGGAAGUGGAAAACAGGGAGG